rnacentral:rRNA from 1 species
UACGUAGGGCGCAAGCGUUAUCCGGAUUUAUUGGGCGUAAAGAGCUCGUAGGUGGUUUGGUAAGUCGGAUGUGAAAUCUCCAGGCUCAACCUGGAGGGGUCAUUCGAUACUGCCAUGACUAGAGGUCGGUAGGGGAGUGUGGAAUUCCUGGUGGAGCGGUGAAAUGCGCAGAUAUCAGGAGGAACACCCGUAGCGAAGGCGGCACUCUGGGCCGAUUCUGACACUGAGGAGCGAAAGCGUGGGGAGCGAACAGG